rnacentral:rRNA from 1 species
UCGGGAAUCUUCCGCAAUGGACGAAAGUCUGACGGAGCAACGCCGCGUGAGUGAUGAAGGUUUUCGGAUCGUAAAAUUCUGUUGUUAGGGAAGAACAAGUAUCGGAGUAACUGCCGGUACCUUGACGGUACCUAACCAGAAAGCCACGGCUAACUACGUGCCAGCAGCCGCGGUAAUACGUAGGUGGCAAGCGUUGUCCGGAAUUAUUGGGCGUAAAGCGCGCGCAGGUGGUUCUUUAAGUCUGAUGUGAAAGCCCACGGCUCAACCGUGGAGGGUCAUUGGAAACUGGGGAACUUGAGUGCAGAAGAGGAAAGUGGAAUUCCAAGUGGAGCGGUGAAAUGCGUAGAGAUUUGGAGGAACACCAGUGGCGAAGGCGACUUUCUGGUCUGUAACUGACACUGAGGCGCGAAAGCGUGGGGAGCGAACAGG